GGCAUAAAAUGUUUAACAAGACCCUGCUCACACUCGUAGGGCUGAGAAUCAGAGCACAGUGAGGAAGAGGAGCAAGGAAGCACUGGGACCGCAGAGCUCCUUCCAGCCUACAGUAGGGCCCAGAGGGCGCCCUCGCCUCGAGGCGGGAGCAGCGAGUCCCCGGCGAGUCUCCAGCCCUGCGCCAGCGCAGGUGGGCGAGGCGGGGCUGGUGGGCGGGGCCUAGAAAGGCGGGGCCUCUGGGGGCGGCCCCAGGGCGGGCCCCGCGGGGGCCAGGGCUGCAGGCGCAGCUCCCCAGCGCCUAGAGCGCCGCACGGGGCGGGAGGUUGGCGGACGAGGAGCGGCAGGGCAUCUUCCUGCGCCUCCGGGCCAGACGCCCACUCCAGGCUGGAGUGCAAUGGCGUGAUCUCUGCCAACUGCAACCUCUGCCCAGGUUCAAGUGAUUCUCCUGCUUCAGCCUCCCAUGCAGCUGGGACUACAGGUGGGAGCCACCAUUCCUGUCUAAUUUUUGUCUAAAGCAGAGAUGAAGUUUUGCCACGUUGACCAGGCUGGUCUCACACUCCUGACCUCAGGUGAUCCUCCCACCUCGGCCUCACAGAGUGCUGAGAUUACAGGCCUGAGCCACUGUGCUGGGCCUGGGUUUCUUUUUAGAUAUUCAUUCUAGAGUAUCUAAAAUCAUGUUAGACUCCCAGACAAUAAUUUAGAACCUGUAAGUACUGCACUUUCAUUUCCUUAUUUGGAAAAGAGUAAGAGUUAGAAGGCACACUUAACACAAAGCAUCCAAGACGCUGCCCUACGUUUUUUUGGGAGAAAGGAAGUGGAUUUUGUAAUAUUUGGACAUUUAUUGUUCUUUAUUUUUUGAGUUCAUGCUAAUUGAAUAGACCCAGGGAGUAAUGUGGCUAAAGGGGUGGGAGACAAGCCUAAGACUCCCCUGGAGCCAGUAAGAGCUCACCAAAGCACCCACAUGGAUAGAUUCACAGAGACAAAGCGAUGUGGGAUUCAGUGCUGAAGUGAGAGACCAUGCUGAUCAUUCCUGUUUAUUGAGCCUCAGCUGUGUGUACCAGUCACUGUGCUUGGUGCUUUUCAGGUUACUUAAUCAUCACUGACCAAAUGAGAUGGGUCAUUACGAUAUAUCCAUUUUUCAGUUGAGGAAAGUAAGGCUCAGAGAGGUUAAGCAACUUGCAGAAACUGUGCAUUUAGGAAGUAACAUAGGAUAUGUCUUCACUACUGUUUGACUUCAUACUUCUGUUUUGCUCUGUGGCCUCCAACAGUGAAUGAUGUUGGAUUUCAAAGAGGGCCAAUCGUUGUGGUUUGGGAAAGGACCACGUGGAAGGGGUUGGGCUGGAUUUUGAACAUGUGGAGGAAAUCAGGAAGAGAGUGCUUUUUAUUUUUGCUAAUGGUUAUUUUGUUGUUUGGAAUAAGAAUACUUCUGACAGUCACAUUUAGCAAUCUGAAAAUUCAGAAUUUGAGGGCUACCUCUGAAAACAAGGAAUCUGGAAUUUGAGAAUUAGCAUUUCUGAGACCAAAGAACCAUUUAGGAGGCUAAAGUACUUCAAACUGGGACUGUUCAGAAAACCCAAGAUGUGUGUGUCCCGUGUGACACACAGGAUGAGUGACCUCAGGGCCAAAACCCAGGCCCACCUCAUCUUUAAGAGGAGACAAAAUGAACUUCAAUUUUCCAUAAAACUGUGGUGUUCUACUUGGUGUUAUAACUACCUAAUUUUAGAUUUGAAAAAGAAAAAUCUGUAGUACUCUUCAGUGUGGAAUUUCGAAGUAGACAAUGAGAUCUUUUAUUCUCAUUUUUGGCCUGCAGUGAUAAUGAGGUUGAAGAUUGCUAAAAACAAAAACAAAAACAAAUAAAAACCCAAAACCAAACA
rnacentral:lncRNA from 13 species